CAAGAACUGGUCCUAUAUAGGUCAGUAACAUGAGGUACAGCAACAGACUGCUCCAGCAUGGGCCUCCCACAGGCAGAAGACUCACCAGAUCACCUGCUGCUGUGCUGAAGAUCCUUCUGUUGCUCUAACUUACCAAGUAUAUUGCCUCUUUCUUUUAACACACUCACUCUACAGUGAUCCAUACUGAACACUCUGCAAUGGAAGACGGCUCGGAGGAGAUAGUUGAAGGCUCAUGAAGACUUAGGAAUGACUGACCAGUGUUGCAAAGAAAGCUGAAUUUAUCUCACCACAAAGCAGAUAGAAGGGUAGCCUUUGUUCUAGAUAAAUAGUUGUAUCAGCUGAGUGAAGCAACUGCUUAUAUUAACUGAGUGAAUCAAUCAAAUGAGUAACUGGCCAUGAGUUAAUCAGAAGACUGCCAACAUACUUAUUUCUAACUUAGCCAUAUCCUCAUGGGUUUUGUGUAUGCAGCUAAGCCCAUCAUAGUAUAAUAAAAUAAACAGCAAACAGAAAGAACUUCAAAUUAAAACAACAGAAUUGAGCUAGUUUCAACCCAGGUAUUUCUUCCCAGUAACUGGGGAUGCCUAGUGCUGUGACAGUGAGCAUAUUAUACAGACCAGUAAUGAAAUUCACAUUUGUAUUGUGAUUCAGUUGUAUAUUGAAACUGGUACACUCUGCAAAACAUGUUUGUACAACUAUUAUAAUUUAGGUACAUUGAUCUAUCACU